rnacentral:RNase_P_RNA from 1 species
GGAUGCAUACUUAGCUUCGGAAACGAGGAAAGUCCGCCCACCCAAGAAAGGCCAGUGCUGGAAGGCAUGCGGAGAAAUCUGCGGCAACCGCACAGAAACGAUACUGGUUUGGAGCAUUAUGAUGGUGUAAAACACCUGAAGUUUCCAAAAUCACAGAUGAAACGGCGAGUCCUGGUUGGUGCAAGUUCAAUUGAACGCUUAGUUAAAUGCUAAGAAGGAGCAUCGUUGCUUGUGCAACAAAUAGGUUCCUACAAAAGGCGGCUUAUUUGCAUCC